AACUUUUAAUAAUAGAUCUCUUAGUUCUGGUAUUAAUAAAGAACGUAGCGAAAUACAAUAAGUAAUAUAAAUUAUAGAAUUUAAUAAAUUAUUAAAUCUUUAAAUAUAUAUUACGUUUAUUAGUAUUUUAAUGAGUAUACCUAUUCGAACGUUA
rfam:Neurospora crassa OR74A unplaced genomic scaffold supercont12.9, whole genome shotgun sequence.